GUGCUCACUUCAGCAGCACAUAUACUAAAACUGGAACCAUACAGAGAAGAUUAGCAUGGCCCCUGGCAAGGAUGACAUGCAAAUUCAUUAAGCAUUCCAUUUUUUA
rnacentral:snRNA from 1 species